GCCGAAGUGGCGGAACUGGCAUACGCGCACGACUCAAACUCGUGUCCCCUUGCGGGGAUGAGGGUUCAAUUCCCUCCUUCGGCAC
rnacentral:tRNA from 3 species